AUGAACCUUGCCGAUAAUGAUCUAUUGGGAACCAUCCCUAGAGAGUUGGGUAAGCUCCCAAACCUCCAUACACUGAAUCUUUCCAAUAGCAAUUUUGAAGGUAACAUCCCUGAUUCAUUAGGCACUAGCAAUUCACUUAGCUAUGUCAAUCUUGGAAAUAACACUCUUACCGGCGGUAUCCCUCUCUCAUUGACCAAUUGCUCCUCACUCAACACACUUAUACUGUCACGUAAUAACCUCUCUGGAGAGAUCCCUUCUACUUUGUUUGAUAACUUAUCUAAGCUUACUAAGGUUGAUCUCCAGAAGAAUUCUUUCACUGGUCUCAUCCCACGUUUCCAUAAGGUCACAGCACUCAAAUUUCUUUGCCUGACGGAGAACUUCCUCUCUGGAAGCAUACCUCCUUCAAUAGGAAAUGUUUCUUCCCUCACUUCUAUAUUGCUCGGCCAAAAUAUGCUAUCAGGAUUAAUUCCAGAAACUGUAGGUCACACUACAAAACUGCUUGAGCUUGACCUAAGUUUCAACAGUUUCUCAGGGAGUGUCCCGUUGUCCAUUUCCUAUUGGUCACACUACAAAACAAGAUUCAUUUACAACAUGACAUCACUCAAAAACUUUAGUGUUGGCAGCAACGGCCUUGUUGGACAGUUACCAUCUUACAUUGGCCACUCACUACCAAAGCUCCAGUCCCUAAUUAUGGGAAGCAACAGGCUGGAGGGCCUGAUCCCUACUUCACUAGCCAACAUGUCCAAUCUUCAAAUGCUUGAUCUUUCAAACAACUCCUUGCAUGGCUUUGUUCCAUCUCUUGGUUCUUUGGCAAACUUGCGUCGGUUAGUUUUGGGGAGUAACUUGCUAGAAGCACAUGACUGGUCAUUUCUUACAUCUCUAGCGAAUUGCACCCAGCUGACAAAGUUGUCCUUGGAAGGGAAUGCUCUGAAUGGCAGCUUACCUAUAGCAGUUGUUAAUCUUUCCACAAGGAUACAAGAUUUGUCGCUUGGGUCAAACCAAAUUUCAGGCUCCAUACCUGUUGAAAUUAGCAAUCUUGUUAAUCUCACUUUACUUAGGAUGGAAAACAAUUUUCUUUCUGGAAACAUACCUUCUACAAUUGGUAAGCUGCAAAACCUAUAUAUCCUAAAUCUGUCAAAGAACAAAUUAUCAGGUCAGAUCCCUCCUUCAGUUGGUGAUAUUACUCAACUGGGCAAACUUUAUCUUAGUGAUAACAAGUUGACUGGUAACAUACCUGGUAGUUUAGGUCAGUGCAAGGGACUUCUUGAACUCAACUUGUCUCGAAACAACCUCAAUGGGUCAAUACCAGUCGAACUCUUUGCUAACCCUCCAUUCUCCCUCGGUCUGGACUUCUCACACAAUAAUCUCACUGGGGAACUGCCACUGGAACUUGGUACAGUUGGUGCUGGUGCUGGUCCAACAUCCCUUCACAUGGAAGGAAACAAGUUUCAUGGACAAAUUCCAGCAAGAUGGCAGUUAGUAUCAACCGUGCAGAUUAAUCUUUCUCACAAUGACUUAUCCGGUGCCGUGCCUGAAUUCUUUGAGCACCUUCGUAUGCUGGAGCAACUUGAUCUAUCUUACAACAACUUAGAAGGGGCUGUUCCUACAAGUGGGAUCUUUGAGAAUUCUACCGCAGUACUUUUGGAUAAUAACAAGGGACUCUGUUCGAAUUCCUCCAGGCUGGCAUUACCAAUUUGUCCUGGCAUCUCAGCUUCAGCAAAUAAAACAAAGCAUCAUUUGUCCUUGCUGGCAACCUUGCUGCUAAUUGUACUACCACCACUUACUAUUGCUUUCCUAGUCUUGCUAUGGUUUCUACCCACUCUUUGGAAGAGAGCGGUAUUCUCAUUUUUACAAUUGGCUGUUGUGUCCAAGAAGAUGUUUCGGUUUUUUUGCCCACCAGAAGAGAAGAGAAAUGCAUACAGUUCCGUUCAACGAUGA
rnacentral:rRNA from 1 species